rnacentral:tRNA from 1 species
GCCGGCAUAGCUCAGUUGGCAGAGCAGCUGAUUUGUAAUCAGAAGGUCGCGGGUUCGAUUCCUGCUGCCGGCACC